rnacentral:rRNA from 1 species
UACAGAGGGGGCAAGCGUUGUUCGGAAUUACUGGGCGUAAAGGGCGCGUAGGCGGCCUGUUAAGUCGAACGUGAAAUCCCCGGGCUCAACCCGGGAACUGCGUCCGAUACUGGCAGGCUUGAAUUCGGGAGAGGGAUGUGGAAUUCCAGGUGUAGCGGUGAAAUGCGUAGAGAUCCGGAAGAACACCGGUGGCGAAGGCGGCCUGCUGGGCUAUGGCUGACACUGAGGCGCGACAGCGUGGGGAGCAAACAGG